CAUGCAGGUACUCCAGUCCUGUAUUUUAUAAACUCGAUACCACUCAGAGUUUAGGAAUAUAAAAGUAGAUAAUGUGUUGUAAAGAAGCUUGAAUGAAACUUGUCGCACCUUGAGCUGCAUCCAUUGCUAUUCGGAGUCUAUCUUCCCAACUUAUGGCACUUGAACUUUUCUCUGCAUAUUCAAUGAAAACAAUGGAAAUACUAGACGAUUACCAUAAAGGUGCUGUGCUAAACUUCCAUUGGCCAUGUACUCGAAAAUUAGGCCAAGUGAUAUGAUUCUUGGGCUUGAUUCAUUGCUGCAACCUAUACCACUCCAAGGAAAUGCUCUCGGGAUGCAUGGAUCUCCUCCCCAAUCUUUGAUCACUCCGUAGCAUUGAAGAUUGGAGGAAGAGUUGAAUUUUCACUUCGAGUAAAAGUUAAGUUGUGUUGGUUUUCGGGGUCUAAUGGUUCGAUGUUGUAAAUGCUGCUUGCGUUCAAGUAAUCAGGAAUAACAGGUCCCUUCCAAUAUUUCCC